GCCAAUCCCAGAUACUGCUUUCAUGUUGGAAUACAGAAAGUCGGAAACGGUCCGCCGCCGGAGGACGUGACUGCGGCCGAUUAGGUAGAUGGUGGGGUAACGGCCCACCAUGCCGAUAAUCGGUACGGGUUGUGAGAGCAAGAACCCGGAGACGGUAUCUGAGACAAGAUACCGGGCCCUACGGGGCGCAGCAGGCGCGAAACCUUUACACUGCACGCCAGUGCGAUAAGGGGACCCCGAGUGCGAGGGCAUACAGUCCUCGCUUUUCGUGACCGUAAGGUGGUCACAGAAUAAGAGCUGGGCAAGACCGGUGCCAGCCGCCGCGGUAAUACCGGCAGCUCGAGUGAUAGCCACUUUUAUUGGGCCUAAAGCGUCCGUAGCCGGCCGAACGGGUCCGUCGGGAAAUCCACUCGCUCAACGAGUGGACGUCCGGCGGAAACCAGUCGGCUUGGGGCCGGGAGACCAGAGAGGUACGUCCGGGGUAGGAGUGAAAUCCUGUAAUCCUGGACGGACCGCCGGUAGCGAAAGCGUCUCUGGAGAACGGACCCGACGGUGAGGGACGAAAGCUUGGGUCUCGAACCGGAUUAGAUACCCGGGUAGUCCAAGCCGUAAACGAUGCUCGCUAGGUGUGGCGUUGGCUACGAGCCAGCGCUGUGCCGUAGGGAAGCCGAGAAGCGAGCCGCCUGGGAAGUACGUCCGCAAGGAUGAAACUUAAAGGAAUUGGCGGGGGGAGCACUACAACCGGAGGAGCCUG
rnacentral:rRNA from 1 species